CCCUUAGAUGUUCUGGGCCGCACGCGUGCUACACUGAGUGGAUCAGCGGGUCAGGUUGCGCGAAAGUGUUUCCUAAUCUUGAAAUCCGCUCGUGAUGGGGAUUGACGGUUGCAAUUUUCCGUCAUGAACGAGGAAUACCUUGUAAGCACGGGUCAUCAUCCCGCGCUGAAUACGUCCCUGCCCUUUGUACACACCGCCCGUCGCUCCUACCGAUUGAGUGGUCCGGUGAGGCUUUGGGAUCUGAGCGGAAAGAGCGUUUCGCUGUUUCUGCUCGGAAAACUCAGUCGAACCUUAUCAUUUAGAGGAAGGAGGAGUCGUAACA
rnacentral:rRNA from 1 species